CACGCCCUAAACGAUGUCUACUAGUUGUCGGGCCUUAAUUGGCUUGGUAACGCAGCUAACGCGUGAAGUAGACCGCCUGGGGAGUACGGUCGCAAGAUUAAAACUCAAAGGAAUUGACGGGGACCCGCACAAGCGGUGGAUGAUGUGGAUUAAUUCGAUGCAACGCGAAAAACCUUACCUACCCUUGACAUGUCAGGAACCCUGCUGAGAGGUGGGGGUGCUCGAAAGAGAGCCUGAACACAGGUGC
rnacentral:rRNA from 1 species